rnacentral:rRNA from 1 species
GACGAACGCUGGCGGCGUGCUUAACACAUGCAAGUCGAGCGGUAAGGCCCUUUCGGGGUACGACGAGCGGCGAACGGGUGAGUAACACGUGGGUGACCUGCCCUCAGCUCUGGGAUAAGCCUGGGAAACCGGGUCUAAUACCGGAUAUGACUCCAUGACGCAUGUUGUGGGGUGGAAAGCCUUGUGCGGCUGAGGAUGGGCCCGCGGCCUAUCAGCUUGUUGGUGGGGUGAUGGCCUACCAAGGCGACGACGGGUAGCCGGCCUGAGAGGGCGACCGGCCACACUGGGACUGAGACACGGCCCAGACUCCUACGGGAGGCAGCAGUGGGGAAUCUUGCGCAAUGGGCGAAAGCCUGACGCAGCGAC